rnacentral:misc_RNA from 1 species
UCCGGUUUGUCACCGGCAGUCUCCCUAGAGUGCCCUUGCGUAGCAACUAGGGACAAGGGUUGCGCUCGUUGCGGGACUUAACCCAACAUCUCACGACACGAGCUGACGACAGCCAUGCAGCACCUGUGUUCGCGUUCCCUUUCGGGCACAGCCACCUCUCAGUAGCCUUCGCGACAUGUCAAGGGUAGGUAAGGUUGUUCGCGUUGCAUCGAAUUAAUCCACAUCAUCCACCGCUUGUGCGGGUCCCCGUCAAUUCCUUUGAGUUUUAGCCUUGCGGCCGUACUCCCCAGGCGGGGCACUUAAUGCGUUAGCUCCGUUACUGAAGGAUUUCACUCCUCCAACAACUAGUUGACAUCGUUUAGGGCGUGGACUAC